rnacentral:lncRNA from 1 species
CCCAAGGGAAGAGGAGUGAGAAUUAUGUUUCAGUUAAAGAGCACUCAAACACUGAACCACAGAGGCGGGUUUGGGAGUGGUGAUUGAGUUUGUCGAAGCUGUCUCCUCCAUCAUACUGGGCUCUGCCAGUGUGGACAGCACAAGCUUAGCUCUCUCUGUGGGUUUUUCCGAGCAAGAUCAAGUGCCCUCUUGUGUUCUGUAGGGGAGGCACACGAUCCGAGGUCCUUUUAGUCUCAGAGGAUGGGAAGAUCCUGGCAGAAGCAGAUGGACUGAGCACAAACCACUGGGUAAAAACCACACUGAGGGGAUCAGAGGGCUUGGUUCUGAUUUUAUUCUCUGUAAUUCCUGUUGAGGUGGUGGCUGGGACUCACAGAGCAGCCUGUGGGGGCAACAUAGCUUCUGUAAGCCUUUGUAACUCCUUCUUCCCUUGAUUGGGGCCAGCUGAUCGGGACAGACAAGUGUGUGGAGAGGAUCAAUGAGAUGGUGAACAGGGCCAAACGGAAAGCAGGGGUGGAUCCUCUGGUACCGCUGCGAAGCUUGCCUACUGGAUCGCACACCAAGCAGUGAAAAUAGUGUUUGACUCCAUUGACAACCUAGAGGCGGCUCCUCAUGAUAUCGGCUACGUCAAACAGGCCAUGUUCCACUAUUUCCAGGUGCCAGAUCGGCUAGGGAUACUCACUCACCUGUAUAGGGACUUUGAUAAAUGCAGGUUUGCUGGGUUUUGCCGGA